CAUCGUUGAACAUGUAUAACCGCGCACCUAAUUGGAGACUGGUGCCUACCUGCCUGCAACGUGUUUUUUUUUCAGAGGAAUAUUUUAAAAGCAAAAUGACAGAUUUUCAUAAAUUUGUAAGGUAAUUUUAGGGUUUCUUUAAAUGCUGUUUCUUUUUGAUAUUUAAUUAUUUAUAUUCUGCUAUAAUAUCCUAGCAAUCGUCAUUUGGCGUUGCAAUAGUUUAUUCAAAUAUAGUUAUAUACUUUAGUACUUAUGACUGAAUAAAUGUGAUUUAUUUAAUAUGCAUUGUUUAAUUUAAGCUGAUUUUUGGGUUUUCUUAUCUCUUAGGCUUAGGUCGUUGGUGUGGGUUGUAUUUCUGAUUGUUAAUUCUUCAUUGGCAAUAGAUAUGUCUAAAUUUAAGAAGUGUGAAGAUAGCAGCUUUUGCAAGUUUGUAUAUGAAA